AAAGAUCAGGAAUUCAAGGGGCGUAGCAUAGUAAAAGCAAUAUACAGGAAACCAGUAGCCACCAUCAAGGUAAAUGGAGAGAAACUUGAAACUAAAUUCAAGGACUAGACAAGGCUGCCCACUUUCUCCCUACCUAUUCAUUAUAGUAGUUGAAGUCCUAGCCAGAAUAAUUAGAAAACUAAAAGGUCAAAGGGAUACAAAUUGGAAGAGAAGCCAAAAUAUUGCUGUUUGCAGAUGAUAUGAUAAUAUACUUAAGUGACCUCAAAAAUUCCACCAGAGAACUCCUACAACUGAUAAAUAACUUUAGCAAAGUGGCUAGAUAUAAAAUUAACUCAAACAAAUCAGUAGCCUUCCUCCACUCAAAAGAUAAACAGACUGAGAAAGAAAUUAGAGAAAUGACACCCUUCACUUUAGUUACAAAUACUAUACAAUACCAUGGUGUGACUCUAACCAAGCAAGUGAAAGAUCUGUAUGACAAGAACUUCAAGUCUCUGAAGAAAGAAAUUGAAGAAGCUCUCAAAAAAUAGAAAGACCUCCCAUGCUCAUGGAUUGGCAGGAUUAAUAAUAGUAAAAAUGGCCAUUUUACCAAAAGCAAUCACCAUCAAAAUUCCAACUCAAUUCUUCACAGAGUUAGAAAGAACCAUUUGCAAAUUCAUUUGGAAUAACCAAAAAAAAAAAAAAAAAA
rnacentral:lncRNA from 1 species